GACAUACUUCUUCCGUUCUGAAUUAUUUGUCGCGGGUAUGGAUGUAUCUAGAUGUAUUUUAGUUCUAGAUAUAUCCAUUUUUGCGACGAGUAAUUUGGAACAGAGGGAGUACAUC
rnacentral:pre_miRNA from 1 species